GAUGAACGCUGGCGGCGUGCUUAACACAUGCAAGUCGAACGGGAUCCCUGGCAGCUUGCUGCCGGGGUGAGAGUGGCGAACGGGUGAGUAAUGCGUGACCGACCUGCCCCAUGCACCGGAAUAGCUCCUGGAAACGGGUGGUAAUGCCGGAUGUUCCACAUGAGCGCAUGCGAGUGUGGGAAAGGCUUUUUGCGGCAUGGGAUGGGGUCGCGUCCUAUCAGCUUGUUGGUGGGGUAACGGCCUACCAAGGCGUUGACGGGUAGCCGGCCUGAGAGGGCGACCGGCCACAUUGGGACUGAGAUACGGCCCAG
rnacentral:rRNA from 1 species